rnacentral:rRNA from 1 species
UUGCUAAUACAUGCAAGUCGAACGAGGUGCUUUUGUACGCACUACGAGAGUAUCCUAGUGGCGAGUGAGUAACGCGUUGGUGACCUACCCCAAAGUGUGGGAUAACAGUCCGAAAGGACUGCUAAUACCGCAUGUGGUCAUUGGAUUUAGAAACCGAUGACUAAAGGAGCAAUUCGCUUUGGGAGGGACCUGCGUCCCAUCAGCUAGUUGGUGAGGUAACGGCUCACCAAGGACGACGACGGGUAGGGGACCUGAGAGGGUGGCCCCCCACAAUGGAACUGAAACACGGUCCAUACACCUACGGGUGGCAGCAGUAGGGAAUAUUGCUCAAUGGGCGAAAGCCUGAAGCAGCAACGCCGCGUGUGUGAUGAAGGCCUACGGGUCGUAAAGCACUUAACUGGGAGAUGAGAAAGGACAGUAUCCCAAGAAUAAGUCUCGGAUAAA